GUCAAUCAGACUUGUUAUUGUAAAACAUGUCACAAGUUAACAUGCGGAAGCGGAUGGAGCGGAUCCACGGAACGGAUAUGGGGAUAAAAUAUAGAACGGAUGGGGAUAAAAUGCGUUCUUUUAAUGAUACAACGUCGUAGUGCUUAUUAUUCAUAACAUAUCUUAUACAGCUAUUUGGGUGAUAGGAAUAAUCAUAUUAAAUAAGUUCAGCGUAUCAGUAGCCUCGUUAGGAUGCUUUUAGCGACAACUGCAAAUGCAAAUGAAGUUUUAGAAUAUGCAAAAUUUGGGUGUUGGUGAAACAAUUUAAACUUCAAGUUAUCGCGUGUCGCAUCACAAUAAAUAAAGAAAUUGUAUCAGUUCCACGAGGCACAUUUCUGAUCUGUUAGGCUUGUUUCAAACGUGGCGCUACUCAUGUGCCGAACGCAUUAUAAAAUAGAUGAGAUGCCUUUGGUAAGUGUUUAUUUCGUAGUGUAAGCCAUCAGCCUUUCUAGGUUGUCGGCAACCCUAUAUAGUUCUUGCAGUGUCUUUUUCAAUUUGAAACUUCACACUAUCCUUGGAUCCCUAGUUAUUGUAUUGUUCUUGUUGGGGGUCGGUUGUCAAUUGGGAAUUGUUUCCUGUUACCUUCUCCUGUCACUGUUUCUGUAAAUAUGUAAUUGUCCUUCGUUGUAAUUGUGACAAAUUCAUUAAAUUAUAUUAUAGGUAAAUUCUAAGUUUUGAAGGAUUUGUAAGAAAAGUUUGACUCGAUGUUUAACACCAAGUCAGUUUCCUCAAAUAUUUCUUACAAAUCCUUCAAUACAUUAGAAUUAGACCGAUGCAAAUGUCGUGGGAUGGUCAACUCUUUCUUUUGCCAAUCUUGAUUUUAUUAUGAUCAAUCCUCCAAAAUAUAUAACAGAAGUAUGAUAUUUCAUCACAUUUUCUCCUACGGAACUACUUAUCAUUUAUAGACCCGGAGCGAGGGGGAUUCUGCGAAAUAGUAUCCGAGUGAUGAUAUUUCCCGAGGGGAAUAUCAUCACUGAGGGUAAUAUUUCGACGAAUACGGUCCGCCGAGCGGUCUAUAGAUACCGAAAGUUAAAUAACCCACUAAGUUGAGAAUAAACUUGCUGAAUAAUUAAACGAAUACAAUGUUUAAUUUAUUAUUUAUACCUGAGUUUUUGACGUUUUCUCUUUAAAAUAUUUGAGCCUGUAUCCUAACAACUCACGAACGUCAUAUUGUUUCAGCGCGUGGUGUCCACGCGUCACGCGUGAGAUACUAGAGAGGUUAAGAUAUACUCCGGUUUCGGUCUACGUGUACGGGUAGCAUGAUUUCGGUUUGCAAUAUUUUCGUCGAUGUCUGUACCUUUACUCGUAAUUAAGGUGCACAUUUUUCGCAUUAUAUCAUUGUCUAUUGCAAGAAAACAGAAAAAGUAUGAUUGAAUUACAGACAACAGUAAAACAAGAUGACACUACUCGUACCCGUACACCGAAACCGAGGUAUCUUAACCUCUCUACUAUAAUAUCCCACGGUAGAUCCACCGUGGGAUAUUAGAGAGGUUAAGAUACCCCGAUUUCGGUGUACGUGUACGGGUAGCAUGAUUUUGGUUAGCAAUAUUUUCGUCGAUGUCUGUACCUUUACUCGUAAUUAAGGUGCACAUUUUUCCCAUUAUGUCAUUGUCAAUUGCAAGAAAACAGAAAAAGUAUGAUCGAAUUACAGACAUCAGUAAAACAAGAUGACACUACUCGUACCCGUACACCGAAACCGGGGUAUCUUAACCUCUCUAUUAUAGUAUCUCACGCUGCGUUGUGAAAUCAUGAAUUUGAGUGAAAUAUCGUAAAAAAUCACAUCACGCGGUACAAAUGCUGUUUUUUGAUUGGACAAUUUGAAUUUGAGGUAUAAUAUUUUUAUAUAUUUCCUCUCAAUUUUGGAAAUAAGCAUUGUGAAAUAUACGCGGAAUUGUAUUCAUUACGAGAAAUGCAAACUGUACUUUAUUACCUUAUGAGCGCUGUCGGACGUACAAUUCAACAUCAAAGACCGUAAUAGUUCCUUAUUGGACGACAUCUCAACAAUACCACAUUAGUCAACUGUCACAACUUGUAACGACCACAACUAGUUUUCCCCCGACAAGAUUUGAGUAUAAAAAGAGGUAACUGGAUCUAGUUCAUUUUCAGAUUGUCCAGAAGUGGUGAAUAAAGCGAAGGUUGGAUACCUUCAGUCGCAGAUUUCUUCAGUUCUUCAAGAGUACGUACGAAGUGAAUAUCGUGCUCAACCCAAUAGACUUGCUAAAGUUCUGCUGUGUUUACCCACGCUCAAAACAUACAGCGCUAAAGCCACAGAAAACUACACAGCGUUUGAGAUGUUUGGAAAGAUAGAUAUGCCACCACUUGUUCGAGAACUGUUUGAAGAAUAGGACAAGAUUGAUGUAUAUCAUCAAGGUCGUUAUGGUUUAGACGUGCAUGGUGUAUUUUUGCAAAUAUUGAUAUGCUACCGCUUGUCAGAAAACUGUUUGAAAAAUAGUUCAAGACUACUUCGCAAGAGGUAACUGUGUCAUGUCAAGAUAUUUCAUAUGGUUUAAAUCCAUCAGAAAUAAUUGAUAUGUCUCUGCUAUUUAAAGAACAGCACAAGAUAGUUUCAUGGGCAAAGAUUUUUUUCAUAUACAAAGAUUGUGAGGCUUGUGUCCUAGCCAUGCCCAACAUGUGGAGGAAAUCAACUUGGUGCAUUUUUCCUACGUUCAGGCUUGUUUGCUCCCCAACAAAAUUAGCAGCGAUGACGAAUGAACCUGAACGACUUUAGACAAACCGAAUUUCAGAUUAGAAAUGGUUCAACGAAAAACGAUGCACUCAGGAUAAAAUUCAUGCUGUUUUAUUACAAAGAACUAUUAUAGAUUAUAGUUAUAGGACUUGCUGAAUAGUUGUUUUAUAGUUGCUAUUAAAGUCUAUCUCGCAACCGACUUUUGCUUGCUCCGUUAAACCUGUUUCCACUAUAGGCGAAUUUCUUCGCAUGAAGCAAUUUUUCCUUUGUCCGCAUCGCUUUUACUGACGUGAUAAAAAGUUGCUUCGUAACCUUAGGGCUAUACUAACCUUGAAUCUACACUAAAAUGAAUGCACAUACAAAUCUCAUCAGCUUAUUGUAGAAUACUACCUACACUGGAACACCAUGUCUGAGAUAUCUUUCUGGUAGUUGAGACACAAACCACUGCUACAUGCAGAAUACUACCUACACUGGAACACCAUGUCUGAGAUAUCUUUCUGGUAGUUGAGACACAAACCAUGCACUGCUACUUGCAGAAUACUACCUGCACUAGACCACGACUGGCACUUGGUAUCAGGUUAACCUCGUUCCCAGGCUCUUUCCUCGAAGAGUGAAUGAUUUUCUUUUUGAACUGAAUUUUCAUUACCAUUUAAUUACCAAUAAUUUUACCAAUAAUGAAUAAAGAUUUCUAUUAAGAAACUUUUAUUAAAACCUUUAUUAAAAAGUUUAAACACUUAAAAAUUAAACUAAAAAUUUAAAAGAAACUACUAGACGUUUCGGUCAAAAAUCAAAGAGCUUCGGUUUUGUGUUUCACAGAAAUCUUUCUGUCUAAUCCUAAUUAUUGGGUAAAUAGCAAAGUUGCAACCACCAAUAAUUUGAUUCUAAUUGCCAAUCAAUUUGAUUCUCUAAUUGCUCGAUUCGGUGAGCACUUCUGAUACAUGUAGGAGCGAGACAAAAAUGGUUGCGAGGGAGACUGUUGAUACAGAAGAACAUUUUAAAUAAAAUAUCAAAGAAUUUUGGAGGUCUGACUGGGGCAAAGACCAGACAAGUGCUAUUGCACUGGCUGUCUCUCAGAAAACAAUUUGCCUCGGUUUUGAGUGCCGAAAAUUCUUUGAUCACGUGAGAUAGUGAUUUUAAUAUGUUGGAGUAGAAAUUAUUUGAUUGUAAUGUCGAUGUAUUAUGGCAUUUAAAAAACAAUUGUUCAUUUCAGGUUUACUAGCUGUUAGAAUAGUUCUAUCAGUUCUUCCAGUUAGAGUCAUCCUUGACGCAGCAUUAAAAAUUCGUAUCGUCUCCGCGCCCAUAAACUGACCUACCUAUUUUUUGCAUAUUCACAAUUCUAAUUUUAAACAGCCAAUCCGGUUUCAAGAACAAGGAAGAAUUACUAUAAAAAUUUGCGGUUUAAUUUAAGACAAGAUGCCAACCUGAUAUUCAGACUCUUUACCUCCGCUACCUCCCACGCCGAAACCCGCUGGCGGAGGUGAAGACCCUCAAGCUCAGGAUUCCACUCCGGC